rnacentral:rRNA from 1 species
UACGGAGGGUGCAAGCGUUAUCCGGAUUCACUGGGUUUAAAGGGUGCGUAGGCGGCUUAGUAAGUCGGGUGUGAAACCUCCAGGCUCAACCUGGAGACGCCACCCGAUACUGCUGUGGCUAGAGUCCGGUAGGGGAGCGUGGAAUUCCUGGUGUAGCGGUGAAAUGCGCAGAUAUCAGGAGGAACACCAGCGGCGAAGGCGGCGCUCUGGGCCGGUACUGACGCUGAGGAGCGAAAGCGUGGGGAGCAAACAGG